GACAAACGCUGGCGGCGUGCCUAAAACAUGCAAGUCGUACGAGCCGAGCAAUCGGCUAGUGGCGGACGGCUGAGUAACACGUAGGUAACCUACCCUUGAGUGGGGAAUAACUCCGCGAAAGCGGUGCUAAUACCGCAUACGACCGUAUGCCCCUGGGUGUACGAGGAAAGUCGCAAGGCGCUCGAGGAGGGGCCUGCGUCCGAUUAGCUUGUUGGUGAGGUAAUGGCUCACCAAGGCGACGAUCGGUAGCUGGUCUGAGAGGAUGAUCAGCCAGACUGGGACUGCGACACGGCCCAGACUCCUACGGGAGGCAGCAGUUAGGAAUCUUGGGCAAUGGGCGAAAGCCUGACCCAGCAACGCCGCGUGGGUGAUGAAGGCCUUCGGGUCGUAAAGCCCUUUUGCACGGGAAGAUAAUGACGGUACCGUGCGAAUAAGCCCCGGCUAACUACGUGCCAGCAGCCGCGGUAAUACGUAGGGGGCGAGCGUUGUCCGGAUUUAUUGGGCGUAAAAGGCUUGUAGGUGGCCACGCCAAGUCGGAUGUGAAAUCUCCCGGCUCAACUGGGAGGGGUCAUUCGAUACUGGCGGGCUCGAGGCCGGUAGGGGGAAGUGGAAUUCCCGGUGUAGUGGUGGAAUGCGUAGAUAUCGGGAGGAACACCAGAGGCGAAGGCGGCUUCCUGGACCGGUUCUGACACUGAGGAGCGAAAGCGUGGGGAGCGAUCCGGAUUAGAUACCCGGGUAGUCCACGCCGUAAACGUUGGGCACUAGGUGUCGGGGGUAUCGACCCCUCCGGUGCCGCAGCUAACGCAUUAAGUGCCCUGCCUGGGGAGUACGGCCGCAAGGCUA
rnacentral:rRNA from 1 species